CAUGUUGCAUCAUGUUUCUGCUUCAUUAUGUAUACGGUUUUGUGCGAGUUAUCAGAAUAAUUCUUUUUCUCUGAGCUUUGUAUUGAAAUACUAAAAAUUAAAUCGAUUAACGUGUAUUCAUUGACUUUGUAAUUAAUAAUAAAUACUUGUGGCCUGUAAUAAUCAUUGUUAGCAUAAAUAUUUGCUGGUGUUUUGGCCGUGGAGUAUCUUUUGUAUUGAUACGUGUACGUUAUAAUUGAUUCAGAAUAUCAAAUAAUGUAUGAUUAAUUAUGACGAAAGUGAAAUGUCUAAUUCUUGUUUUUCAAUACUUACUCUAAUUAGAAAACCAACUGCAAGAAUCAUGCCUGGUUGUGCUGCAAUCCACUGUACAAAUUCCUCUGUGAAAGGUUUUUUGAUGAAACGGUUUCCAAGGGAUCCCAUACGAAGGAAGCAAUGGCGUAUUAAAUGUAGGAGGGAUAAUUGGACCCCGUCAAAUAAUUCAUAUUUAUGUGAGGUACCUAUAUGUUUACCAGUAGAUGUAUAGGUACAGAAAAUGUUGUUCUCAAUGAUUCAGUUGAAUUUGUGUAAUUGGUAAUUCUUUAUACAAGGCAGGCUCCUGUAAUUGUACAUUUUUCCAACAAGUCAGUGGGCCAAGAGCCAAUAGGGAUGCUGCAAAGUGAGUUUCGUCCAUAAAUUUGACACAAAAAUGGUCCAAUUUGAAAAAAAUUGGGUUCUUUGUUUAGGCCCAUUUUGCUCCUGAUAUGUGGGAGAAAACUCGGGAAGAUGGAACUCGCAAACUAAAAUCUGAUGCCACGCCCACUUUGUUUUCCUUCUCAAAACAAAAGCAAUCAAGAAAGCCCCCCACUCAAAGGUUCUUACAACCAAAGAAUUUAAGAAUGCCUCCCAUCCAUAGGAAAUUGACGAAAACUGAAUCUUCAUCAUCACAUGGGGUUACUGAAACCGCAACAGAAGCACCUAAACCACUUAAUGCAGAUAUACCAAAAUCAUCUACAUCAACUGCAGAUUUGUCCGAGGAAUUUCUCAUCAAUAAAAUAGAUUCAUCUCAAUGAUUAUAUGAAAUUGUACAACAGGGAAAAGGCGAAGGCAGAAAGUAUUGAAGACUUGCGAAAUUGGAGAAACAAGCUGAAGAACAUGGAAAAACAAGCCACUUCUCCUCAAUUUAUUGAGUUUAAUCUCAUGAAGUGGUCAAAUGGGACGGUCACACAAUGCUUGACACUCGAGUUUUCUUAUGGAAACAAUGGGUAUCAUAAGUUGAUGAAGAAACUCUCCAGCGAAAACUUCUACACAUCAAAUUUGAUUCUGGUAUCCUCCAUGAAGUUUUUCAAUUUAUAGAAAUAAAAUUCCAACUUUUCAAGUCA